rnacentral:rRNA from 1 species
GCUUGGUAUUGAUUCGUUAGCGCCGGGCAGCCGAAUAUCACGUGGGCGACCUGGCCUGGUAGCCGGGAUAACUACCAGAAAUCCCGGCUAAUACCGGAUAACACCCGUAGUCCCAUGCCGGGUCGCCGAAGAACGGCGUAAGCUGUCGCUACAGGAUGGGCCCGCGGCGCAUUAGCUAGUUGGUGAGGUAACGGCUCACCAAGGCGACGAUGCGUAGCCGACCUGAGAGGGUGAUCGGCCACACUGGGACUGAGACACGGCCCAGACUCCUACGGGAGGCAGCAGUAGGGAAUCUUCCGCAAUGGACGAAAGUCUGACGGAGCAACGCCGCGUGAGCGAAGAAGGCCUUCGGGUCGUAAAGCUCUGUUGUUAGGGAAGAACAAGUAACGCAGUAACUGGCGUUACCGUGACGGUACCUAACGAGAAAGCCACGGCUAACUACGUGCCAGCAGCCGCGGUAAUACGUAGGUGGCAAGCGUUGUCCGGAACUAUUGGGCGUAAAGCGCGCGCAGGCGGUUCCUUAAGUCUGAUGUGAAAGCCCACGGCUCAACCGUGGAGGGUCAUUGGAAACUGGGGGACUUGAGUGCAGAAGAGGAGAGCGGAAUUCCACGUGUAGCGGUGAAAUGCGUAGAGAUGUGGAGGAACACCAGUGGCGAAGGCGGCUCUCUGGUCUGUAACUGACGCUGAGGCGCGAAAGCGU